UCCGGCCGCUAGCUGAGAACUGUUUGGCUCCUCUGGGUUUGGUAUCUUUGACUUGAAUGCAGACCUGGCAAGAGCGUAAGGAGCCAUUUGGCCUAAACUGAAAACUCACACUGAAGAAAGUAGAGCAGAAAAAAUAAAAGAAGCCUGCUUCCAUAACGCUGAACAACAGGAGCCAGCAUUGUUUUUGGACAAAGGACUAUAUAAUAAUAAAUUUCUGUUUUGUGGACUU